AGAUGUGAGGGCGAUCUGGCUGCGACAUCUGUCACCCCAUUGAUCGCCAGGGUUGAUUCAGCUGAUCUGGCUGGCUAGGCAGGUGUCCCCUUCCUCCCUCAGCACUCCAUGUGCGUCCCUCCCAAAGCUGCGUGCUUGGUCGAAGAGGACGGCCUUCCCCGAAUAGAGACAGACAGGUCUUCGGUCGAGGGUAUCCGAGUAGCUGCGCUCCCCUGCUAGAACCUCCAAAUAAGCUCUCAAGAAAGAGAAAUGAUUGUAGUGAAAAAAGAAGCCAGUAUUAUUAACUAUUAUGUGUGUUAGCAUUGUAU
ensembl:misc_RNA 7SK 7SK RNA